GACGAGCGCUGGCGGCGUGCUUAACACAUGCAAGUCGAACGAAGAGCGAUGGAAGCUUGCUUCUAUCAAUCUUAGUGGCGAACGGGUGAGUAACGCGUAAUCAACCUGCCCUUCAGAGGGGGACAACAGUUGGAAACGACUGCUAAUACCGCAUACGAUCUGACCUCGGCAUCGAGGAUAGAUGAAAGGUGGCCUCUACAUGUAAGCUAUCACUGAAGGAGGGGAUUGCGUCUGAUUAGCUAGUUGGAGGGGUAACGGCCCACCAAGGCGAUGAUCAGUAGCCGGUCUGAGAGGGCGAACGGCCACAUUGGGACUGAGACACGGCCCAGACUCCUACGGGAGGCAGCAGUGGGGAAUCUUCCGCAAUGGACGAAAGUCUGACGGAGCAACGCCGCGUGAGUGAUGACGGCCUUCGGGUUGUAAAGCUCUGUUAAUCGGGACGAAAGGCCUUUUUGCGAAUAGUGAGAAGGAUUGACGGUACCGGAAUAGAAAGCCACGGCUAACUACGUG
rnacentral:rRNA from 1 species